UCCCGCUCUCCCUCUCUUUCUCACCCUCUCUCUCUUGCUCUCUGUCUCUCUCUCUCUAUGGACAUUCCCUCUCUCUCCCUUUCGCUCUCUGGCUGGGCUGUAUUGUAAUACACAUAUAGACACUACUUAGUGCUUUGGAAAGAGGGUUGAGCCUCACACACACAACCAGAGCAGCUUCUCAAUGGGGGGACGGAGCCAAGAGGAGACAGAACUAUCGUUCCGCUGGAGCCAAUCUCCGUCCGUGUCUGAGAAGUGAGGAGGCAAAUUAACUCCCUGUCGUCACGAGAGGGUUUCAUCCUCACAGGAGUAAGAAGAGAGAGAAAAGGGAGAGGGAGAAAGAAGGAGAGAAAGGAGCUGCUGUCUGCGCUGAUAUAUAGGUGACCUGAGCAGCUUUCCAUCCUGUAAACCCUGGCUAGUUUGUGACAGAGUGUCGUGGCUGUGAGCUGAGGAGGUUUCUGGUGACUGCACUCUCAGGAUUUCAGACGGACAGUGAGAGGAGGGAGCCGAAACAACAGAGCUCCUCACCCUCUUAUCCUGUAGCGCUGUGCUCAUUUACACCUGGAUCUUUGUUGGGAAUCCCUGGCCUCAGACUAUGGAUGGAUUUAAGACAUUGUGGUGAGUCUGUUGGACAGACGGUGAUACUGACAGCAGGGCUCCUUUUCUUCUGACCAGACAGAACACUCAGCCGCUCUGCCAUGUCCUGGUUCCUGGGCCUGUGGAUUAGCCUAGGCUUCCUGCUGCUGUGCCAGGCCACACUGUACGAGACUAUCCAACAGCACCACGUUCCGCGGCCCGGACGCAAUGCCAUACAGAUCCUGGAAGGAGGUACGUGUGAGGUGAUCGCAGCCCACCGGUGCUGUAAUAAGAACCGUAUCGAGGAGCGCUCCCAGACUGUCAAGUGCUCCUGUCUACCGGGAAAGGUGGCCGGGACAACACGCAACAAACCCUCCUGUGUGGAUGCGUCCAUUGUGAUUGGGAAGUGGUGGUGUGAGAUGGAGCCGUGUCUGGAGGGAGAGGAGUGUAAGACUCUGCCUGAUAACUCUGGAUGGAUGUGCUCCUCUGGGAACAAGAUCAAGACCACAAGGAACACUGCGCCAUACUCACCUUUUUAGCUCUGGAAGCAAAAUGCAGAGGAUGCUUCAACAGAAACUGAGCUGCAUUCUUGCUUCUGUAAAGAGGGGGAGCCCUGCUUGCCUGUACUCUAUCAGCAGCAGACAAGGCAGGCCUUUUGUUUGAGGAAGUCACAGUGAAGGGAACUGGGGAGGGACCCCUCCAAACACACGCCCAGCAUAGAUCCACGUUACCCGCUCCAUUGGCUAAAUAGAUCAAUCCAUUUCUUCUCACGCCAUACAAUUACAUGGAAAAGGGAGAGAACAAAGAAAAGCUGAAAUGUAACAUCUUGUCUUCAUUCUGCUUACCUGCCCCUUUUGUUAUAAGGAUCUAAUUAUGUGAAGGCUUCAAUAAAAUCAAGAAUCCCUACCAGACAGACAGUACAUGUCACCAGACAGAUUGACUGUUAGCCCAGGAUCAUUCAUGGCUGAGAGAAGAAGAAGAAACUGAUAACAGCCAUUUCACUAAUACUUUGGUAGUUUCCUAGCUGUUGCCUCAGUAUGUAAAUUCAGUAUAUGCUUUGCUGUUUCAAGAGGCACAUGUUGUCUAUUAGAAGUACCAGAAGGCACAUGUUCAAGCCAGUCACAAAUAACAACAGGAUAUAUCCCAUCUGGGAGGCUUGUUCAGAGCAAAGUGCAACAAACGCAUCACCAUCAAAUGUGUUGAAUAAGAGAAAUCAUAAAUCAAUUGAUCAAUUGAAAUACUGGCACCACUCCACACAGUAAAAUCAUGUUUUCAACUUACACUACCGUUCAAAAGUUUGGGGUCACUUAGAAAUGUCCUUGUUUUUGAAAGAAAAGCCCAUCAGAAAUACAGUGUAGACAUUGGUAAUGUUGUAAAUUACUAUUGUAGCUGGAAAUGGCAGAUUUUUAAUGGAAUAUCUACAUAGGAGUACAGAGGCCCAUUAUCAGCAACCAUCAGUCCUGUGUUCCAAUGGUACGUUGUGUUAGCUAAUCCGUUUAUCAUUUUAAAAGCCUAAUUGAUCAUUAGAAAACCCUCUUGCAAUUAUGUUAGCACAGCUGUAAACUGCUGUUCUGAUUAAAGAAGCAAUAAAACUGGCCUUCUUUAGACUAGUUGAGUAUCUGGAGUUUAAACAUUUGUGGGUUCGAUUACAGGCUUGUUCUGAGAAAUGAAGGCUAUUCCAUGCAAGAAAUUGCCAAGAAACUGGAGAUCUUGUACAACGAAGUGUACUACUCCCUUCACAGAACAGUGAAAACUGCCUCUAACCAGAAUAGAAAGAGGAGUGGGAAGCCCUGGUGCACAACUGAGCAAGAAGGCAAGUACAUUAGAGUGUCUAGUUUGAGAAACAGACGCCUCACAAGUCCUCAACUGCCAGCUUCAUUAAAUAGUACCCGCAAAACACCAGUCUCAACGUCAACAGUGAAGAGGUGACUCCGGGAUGCUGGCCUUCUAGGCAGAGUUGCAAAGAAAAAGCCAUAUCUCAGACUGGCCAAUAAAAAUAAAAGAUUAAGAUGGGCAUAAGAACACAGACACUGGACAGAGGAACUCUGUCUAGAAGGCCAGCAUUCCGGAGUCGCCUCUUCACUGUUGAUGUUGAGACUGGUGUUUUGCGGGUACUAUUUAAUGAAGCCUUCAUUUCUCAGAACAAGAAUAGACUGACGAGUUUCAGAAGAAAGUUUGUUUGUUUCUGGCCAUUUGGAGCCUGUAAUCGAACCCACAAACAGUAGUGUAUAUGUUUUUGGUAACAGUUUACAUUAACCAUCCGUCCACAUUUUGCUUUCAUACUAAUGACAUGACAGCUGAUGUAAGCUUAAAGGUGUAGUCAUGUAACGGCUGUCUUCGUCCUCCUCGUCUGAGGAGGAGUAGGAGAUAUCGGACCAAUAUGCAGCGUGGUGAGUAUUCAUAUUUAUUUAGAAUACUUGAAACAAACAAACAAAAAUAACAAAUAAACGAAUGAACACGAAACAGUCCCGUAUGGUGAACAAACACAGAAACAGGAACAAUCACCCACCAACCACAAUACAAAACAGGCUACCUAAAUAUGGCUCCCAAUCAGAGACAACGACAAACACCUGCCUCUGACUGAGAACCAUAUCAGGCCAAACACAUAGAAAUAGACAAACUAGACAAAUAACAUAGAAUGCCCACUCAGAUCACACCCUGACCAAACAAAACAUAGAAACAUACACAGCAAAUUAUGGUCAGGGCGUGACAUGUCUACAGUUACUACAUACAUUUUUGGACUUAUAAAUUAAUUAUAUGUACCCAUUGAUUGUUGAAGAAUAUACUGCAACUUCUAAAUGCCUUAUGAGCGUAGUUCAAUUGUCUUACCCCAUCCGAACCCAAAAUUUGAUCUUGUUUAACUCCAAUGUUUUUAAACAAAGUAAAUGUAAACUUAUACUGUAGCCUCAAAACACGGUUAAAACUAGCCCCAUCCCUCCACUUUCUAAUUGUUUCAACUGCUGAUUACCGCAUUAACGGUCUUAACAGUAGACAAAGUAGAAGACAAACUUUGGUUUUGUAGUGGGGUAAUAUUUGAUAUGUGUAUAUUAUACUGUGUAUACUUCACACACGACCCGUAAUAAGACCAUGUCAUUUGUACAUAAACAAAGUGUUUUAGAAAGUAUAUCUGACUCCAUUUAACAUUAUAGUAAAAUCUUGUGCAAUCAAGUAGUAUGUGUUUAGCUGACCAAGAUCAAGGAAUGGUCAUGAGAAGUGAAUGUCAAAGGAAGUAUUCACAUUCAAGGCAUAACGCUUAAGUUACAAGGCAAUACUGACAUUAACUUCUUCGGGGUAGGGGGCAGCAUUUUCACUUUUGUAUAAAUAGCAUGCCCGAAUUCAACUGCCUGCACCUCAUCCCCAGAAUAUAAGAUAUGCAUAUUAUUAGUAGAUUUUGACAUAGCAUCAUUCUAAGGUUAACUAGGACAAAGCAUGAACAAAGAGAUGCGUAUUAGGCCAGAGGCCUAGAAGCCUAGGAAAUUAGAAUAUAUCACACAACCUUUCGCCAAUGGACGGGAUACAGUAUAAGAGAGAGAGAAAAACAGACCUUAAUUUUAUUUAUAACAUCUGAAGGUGUAAAACCUACCACCAUUGACCAAUCAAACAAUACCAAUGCACAUGGUUAGCAGAUGUUAUUGCGAGCGUAGCGAAAUGCUCUUGCUUCUAGAUCCGACAGUGCAGCAUUAUCUAAGAUGUAAUAUCUAACAAUUCCACAACAAAACCUAAUAUCUAACAAAUUCCACAACAAAACUUAAUACAUCAAACAUUUUCAUAAAAAACAAAACAAUAAAGCUUUGUGUUCCUGUUUUUUUUUCUUUUUUUCUCUCGCUGUUGGUGUUAGGUGCACUUGAUUCAGCAGCCCUAGCACCGGGAAGGCAAAGUGUUCCCAUUUUUAACCAUUGCAUGUGUCUGAAGGUAAAACUCCACCUACCCAGCAGUCCCAGAUAGCAAAUCAAGUGCACCUAUAGGCCUACCACUGACCAAUCAGAUAGCUCGUAACACCGUGUCUGCACAGUGUCUGCACACUGUAAUAGGAAGCAUCGAACGCACAGCAAAGUUGAAAAUGUGAGAUUUAAAAAGUUUUAAAACCAUGAGUAGAGACAACAGCAAAGAGCUGCUGUGUUUAUGAGUAAGUUUAAGUUGUUAUUCAGCACUGUCAACACUUUGUUCAACUGUUUAAUAGUUCAUAAAAUGCACGUUCUCCUAAAUUCCACUCACACUACAACCAGCACUGCAGCUGCAAUGAAUGAGUAUAGCAAAGUGUUUCGAUAAGCUUGCGUUGUUGUUAUUUGAGGCAUGUCUUUUUUAAUAUCGAGGAAUUUUUCAUCAACAUAAAUUGGUGCACGAGGCAGAAAUACUGCAGCUGGAAGACUGUGUCCCCUUUUCUCAGCGGAAAGAGAGACGAGGGAUGGUGAAUCGGGUAAGAGGCAGCCUCACAGCUGCUCCCUCCCUCCCCUCAAACUGACUAUCAGAUGCAGGCCAUCAGUCCAGUAAAAAAAAGUGAAUUAUUAUGCUCACUCAGCUGUUCGUCACAAGGAAUACAACAAAUUAUCCAUUACCAGUGUGGUCAUAUACCUUAAAUGUUGAAUUUCAAAAUUGUCUUAGAAGAACAACAUUGGCAGGACAAUUCAAGCAUAUCCAAUAUGCAGUGAUAAUGUAUUGGGCCUAUCGCCUACUGCACAAACCUCAUUGCUACAGAACUGUUUUUAAUUGGUUAAUGUUGCAUAGGCAUACUCUUUUUAAGUCCUGUUAUUUUUUUUCUGAGCGUUAGAUCUCGGCUUGCAUUUUGAAAAUGUUAGUGACCGCUGCUGUAGAGAGAGAGAUACAUUUUGGCCCUCAGAGGGGGGAAGGGCGUACUGGUCCUUAAAGCAUUGUCAUUUGUGUUUUGCUGCACCAUUUGCCAUGCAGCCCCAGGUGACAGAGAGACAUAGUUUAGGGCCGAGCCUACAGUGUCAUAAAAGGAUUUGUCAUAAGCUGACAUCAACUGCCUUCACUGUUAAUGUCAUCUGUCAUGUCAUUCUCAUAACAGUGUUAUGUAGGCCUUAUGAUGGAAGGUUCAUGUAAAGUGGUUCUGCUUGCAUCUACUCUUUUGCUCUAUACACAUUGUCAGUGUCACAUUAAAUGGAUCUUGAUGUA